rnacentral:rRNA from 1 species
CGGGCCCGCACAAGCAGCGGAGCGUGUGGUUUAAUUCGAUGCUACACGAAGAACCUUACCAGGGUUUGACAUGCAAGUGGUAGGAACCGAAAGGCGACGACCUUCGGGGAGCUUGCACAGGUGCUGCAUGGCUGUCGUCAGCUCGUGUCGUGAGAUGUUGGGUUAAGUCCCGCAACGAGCGCAACCCUUAUCAUUAGUUGCUACGCAAGGGCACUCUAAUGAGACUGCCGGUGACAAACCGGAGGAAAGGUGGGGGAUGGACGUCAAGUCCUCAUGGCCCUUAUGGGUAGGGCUUCACACGUCAUACAAUGGUCGGUACAGAGGGUUGCCAAGCCGCGAGGUGGGAGCCAAUCCCAGAAAGCCGAUCGUAGUCCGGAUUGUUCUCUGCAACUCGAGAGCAUGAAGUCGGAAUCGCUAGUAAUCGCGGAUCAGCAUGUCGCGGUGAAUACGUUCCCGGGCCUU